UGAAUAUUGUGGUAAAAAUCAUUAUGGACCUUGUCUCAAAAAGCUGAAAGUAUGUUUUUCAUGCGGCAGAAUAGGAUAUAUGGUGCGAGAUUAUCCUAUUAAGAAAAAGGAUAAUACAAAGACUUCCAAGCUAGCAGAUCAGAAACAACAAGAAAAUGCACGGAUGUGCGUUUUGACCCAACGAGGUGUCAGUACAAGCUAUCAAGUAGUUUCAGGUACCAUUCUAGUUACCCCGUAGAUGCUUAUAUGCUAUUUGAUUAUGAAUUUUCUCAUUCCUUUACAUCUUUCAAAAAAAAAUCAAAAUUAAAUUAUCUCAUUUUAAAUUA
rnacentral:lncRNA from 1 species